AGAUCAAUUUGUUGGUUGCGCCUCGGUACGUACUGGCAUUAUUGGUUUCUACCUUCUGAAGAACCUUGAUGUCAUUAAUUUGGUGUCUUGGGGAAUCAGGACUGUUACUUUGAAAAAAUUAGAGUGUUUAAAGCAGGCAUACGCUUGAAUACAUUAGCAUGGAAUAAUGAAAUAGGACGUUUGAUUCUAUUUUGUUGGUUUCUAGGAUUGACGUA
rnacentral:rRNA from 1 species